rnacentral:rRNA from 1 species
GACGUAGGGCGCGAGCGUUGUCCGGAUUUAUUGGGCGUAAAGAGCUCGUAGGCGGCUUGUUACGUCGACUGUGAAAACCCGACGGCUCAACUGCGGGCCUGCAGUCGAUACGGGCAGGCUAGAGUUCGGUAGGGGAGACUGGAAUUCCUGGUGUAGCGGUGAAAUGCGCAGAUAUCAGGAGGAACACCGGUGGCGGAAAGCGGCGUCACUGG